rnacentral:rRNA from 1 species
AUGGUACUAUAUAUGAUUUCCUUCUUUCAAUUGCCGAAAGUAGUUUUACAUAGAUUGGAUUAUUUCCGAUCAAGAUUCUUUUGGCAAGGAGAUAGCGAGAAAAAGAAAUAUCGAUUGGUUAAAUGGAGUGUGGUUUGCCGUCCCAAAGACCAAGGCGGGUUGGGCAUUCAUGACCUUGAGGUUAAGAAUAGGGUCCUCCUCGGCAAAUGGUUGUUUAAAUUAAUGACGGGAGAUGGUGUAUGGCAAACCCUCCUGAGAAGGAAAUAUGUGGGUUCCAAAGCGGUAUCUCAAGUAUACUGGAAGCCUGGGGAUUCUCACUUUUGGGCAGGUCUGAUGGCUACGAAAAAAUAUUUCUUCUCCUAUGGAUCCUUCUCAAUUAAGGACGGCUCGGAAAUUAGAUUCUGGGAGGACAAGUGGCUAGGAAAUGCCACACUCCGAGAACAAUAUCUGGCUCUAUACAACAUUGUGCGUCAUAAGGGUGAUACUAUCACCACGGUAAUGGAAUCAUUUCCGCCAAAUGUGACGUUCAGAAGAGAUUUAAUUGGACCCAGACUUCAAUCAUGGUAUAUCCUGCUCCAGCGGUUGUCCACGAUGCAUUUGUCACAUGGGUCUGAUGUAUUUCGAUGGAACCUACAUGGGAAUGGACAAUUCUCAGUGGAGUCUAUGUAUAGAGCGUUAAUCCAGUCUGAUGUGCCAGUUGAUAAUAAUAAGAAAAUCUGGAAGAUGAAGAUACCUCUAAAGAAUAAAAUCUUUGCAUGGUAUCUUCGUCGCAGAGUCAUUUUUACUAAAGAUAACCUUAUAAAGAGGAAUUGGCAUGGAAGCCCGCAAUGUGUCUUUUGUCACGAUGAUGAGACAAUAAAAUAUUUAUUCUUCCAAUGCAAAUUGGCUCGUUCUAUAUGGUCAGUCAUCCAAAUAGCUUCUGGCUUGUAUCCUCCUUGUAGUGUUGCUAAUGUAUUUGGCAACUGGUUACAUGGGAUAGAUUACAGGUUCAGAACUAUUCUUAGGAUGGGAGCGCUUGCCGUUAUUUGGUCGCUUUGGCUAUGUAGAAAUGAUAAGGUGUUUAACGAUAAAAGUACUUCUCUGAUGCAGGUUAUCUACAGGUGUGCCGGGACUCUUCGUUUAUGGUCCUCUCUACAACGUGUUGUGAAUCGAGGCCUGUUUACGGAGGUGUGUACACGAUUGGAGGAUACGACGAGGGAUACUUUUACCCAACAUGGGUGGCAACAUGAUCUUAGGAUUGGCCCACCUCCGCUUUAG